ensembl:lncRNA
CGCUUUUAUUUCCAUGAACAGCAACAAGCCCUGGGGCACUAUUGUGUACAGUCCAGGAGACUUCAUUCUUAAUAAAAAUCUUGAGAAAGAGAUCAUGAAUUAAACAGCUACGCUGUCAGGCAAUAAGCACUGAACAAUCAUUUACACAGAUUUCUUCAAAGGCGGUACCAGUGAGGCAGCCUUAGAUUACAGUCCUGAAUGUUAAGGUAUUAGUGACCUGAAAUCCUGGACCCUCAUGACUGGUUACCUUACUGAGAUAUUGAGAAGUUCAGAUACCGAUGUCUUUGAAGACUCUGUUUACAUCAUCCAGCUCAAAUAGCCAUUGGAAAGAGAUUAAAAAAAUGAAAUAACCACAACCAAUGAACAAGCCAGCAGUGUUCUGGAAUAUCUACAACAUCAAUUUGCCUGCUUAUCUUAGGUGUUGCCAUAAACCUUGCGUCAGAGAACUGCUACACUUGCACAGUUUCUCACUACUUGCUGACCAACGCUGAGCUCACAAUACAACUGUCCACCAACCACCACUCUACUGGCAAGACAAGGUCACAACCACACAAACUACCAGCCAGUCAACUAUAUGGCCUUCUGUAUGAUGUCAUACGGUAUGGAAUGACCCUUGGACUAAUUCAGAACAGCUCCUGGCUCUGCCUGACCCUCUGCUGCUGUAUCAUGAAGUCAGCCACUCUUCCCCACCUGGCAGCCUGGCUUGGUUCUGGCUGUGUUCCUAUCACUCAGCAACAAUGAAAAUAUUGGUGUGCUUUUAAUGCUGUUUCAGUCAAAAUUGUGAUACUUACUAAUAUCUAUAUAGUAUUCUAUUGUCAUUCCUGUGUUGCUAUAUCUACAUACCAGUACAAUUUAAUUCAUUUUUGACCUAUGUGUUGAGCUGGUAUUGAUUUAUUCUAUUUUAUGCUUAGAAGGCUUCAUUUCCAUGUGACUUCCUUCCUGAAAUAAAAGCUUGCAAAUUGAUCUAUGUGGAUUUGGCAAAGAGUAG